rnacentral:rRNA from 1 species
ACACUGCCCAGACUCCUACGGGAGGCUGCAGUCGAGAAUCUUCGGCAAUGGGCGCAAGCCUGACCGAGCGACGCCGCGUGGAGGACGAAGGCCUUCGGUUGUAAACUCCUGUCGAGGGGGAAGAAGCCGCAAGGUUGACUGAUCCCUGGAGGAAGCACGGGCUAAGUUCGUGCCAGCAGCCGCGGUAAGACGAACCGUGCGAACGUUAUUCGGAAUCACUGGGCUUAAAGCGCGUGUAGGCGGGACGGCACGUCGGUGACUGAAAGCCCCCGGCUCAACCGGGGAAGGGGUGCCGAUACGACCGUUCUCGAGGGGCGUAGGGGGAACUGGAACUUCCGGUGGAGCGGUGAAAUGCGUUGAGAUCGGAAGGAACGCCCGUGCGAAAGCGAGUUCCUGGACGCCUGCUGACGCUGAGACGCGAAAGCCAGGGGAGCGAACGGGAUUAGAUACCCCGGUAGUCCUGGCCGUAAACGAUGGGCACUGGGUAGGGGGCUCGGCCGAUGGGCUCCCUGCCGAAGCGAAAGCGUG